rnacentral:rRNA from 1 species
UACGUAGGGUGCGAGCGUUAAUCGGAAUUACUGGGCGUAAAGCGUGCGCAGGCGGUUGUGCAAGACCGAUGUGAAAUCCCCGGGCUUAACCUGGGAAUGGCAUUGGUGACUGCACGGCUAGAGUGUGUCAGAGGGGGGUAGAAUUCCACGUGUAGCAGUGAAAUGCGUAGAUAUGCGGAGGAACACCGAUGGCGAAGGCAAUCCCCUGGGCCUGCACUGACGCUCAUGCACGAAAGCGUGGGGAGCAAACAGG